UACGUAGGGACCAAGCGUUGUUCGGAUUUACUGGGCGUAAAGGGCGCGUAGGCGGCAAUUUAAGUCAUCUGUGAAAUCUCCGGGCUUAACUCGGAAUGGUCAGGUGAUACUGCUUUGCUGGAGUGCAGAAGGGGCAAUCGGAAUUCUUGGUGUAGCGGUGAAAUGCGUAGAUAUCAAGAGGAACACCUGAGGUGAAGACGGGUUGCUGGGCUGACACUGACGCUGAGGCGCGAAAGCUAGGGGAGCAAACGGG
rnacentral:rRNA from 1 species